CCGGGAGAGGCCGAAGUCGGCGAUUUUCACCACCAUGUUCUCGCCCACCAGGCAGUUCCUGGUGGCCAGGUCCCGGUGCACGAACUUGCGCUCCGAGAGCAAUAAAGAGUAGUUACAGUAAGAAGCACAAAUAUUGCAAAGCUGGACAUUGUGGAGAUUAUUACAGUCAUGGAGUAUGUAGGUGAGACGGACAAGGAGGAAGAAGAAGAGGAAGGCAGAUUUGGAAUGUCCACACUUGGCUUUGAGGACGUCAUUGGUGGGAAUGCUAUGCAGUAAGGAAAUCUGAUGUCUAGGAAAGAAGGCAGACAGAAGUCUAACAUUUUGGAAAAUCGUGCUGAUCUCUUACAGGUGGAUACAGAUGAGUGACCUCAGCUCAGCCAAUCAGACACGUCUGCUGGGACUCUGAAUUUGGAGCAAGUGACACAAAGAAGGAGGUAGUGAGAAUUCAUUCCAGUGGUGGCGACAUCACGCGUUCGACGGCAUCGGAGCCAAGAGUAGCACGCAGCCACGGCGGCGCCUCAGCAGUAUCUAGUGUCUGGUGAUGGCAGCGCUGGUGGCCAUGCCCAGCGUCAGUGGCGGAGCUGCGUCACCCUGACCGGGCUGUUCCUCGGGCGAGAGCUUGGCCACAGUGCUCGCCACCUGACUGCCUUGGUUCCUGCCUGCCUCUCCGGUAUUCCUGUGUAUUUUGUAAGCUGCCCAGUAGCCUUCCAAAACAUUUCCUUCCUCCCAAGUUAACCCUUUCUCUCGAGUUACAUGAUACAUACACACACACACACACACA